GUCCUCUGAUCCCAUCCUGACGUAACACGCUAACGUAUUACAUCAGAGUGAGCAGAGCCUUACCUCAUUCACCAUCACCUUGAUAUAGGCAUAGCCUUGCGAGUCUUGAUAGAAGACUAUGGUCACUGAGAAAGAUGUAAAAAGCAAGAGUAGAAUCCAGGCCUCCACCAUGUGGAAAAUGCAUGGAGCAAAGGAGUGAUUUCUUCAGUGCUGCCAUUCCACUGGAGAUUGCAGUACAAUCUCCUUCCAUGCUAGU
rnacentral:lncRNA from 1 species